UGAUCCACCCACCUCGGCCUCCCAAAGAACUGGUUUCUUAUUCUCUAAACAGCUGACUGAAUGUGAGUAUGUGGAGUUUAACCACAGAGGAAAGAUAAUGAAAAUAUGAGCAUUGGGAC